rfam:Anaerofustis stercorihominis DSM 17244 Scfld_02_3 genomic scaffold, whole genome shotgun sequence.
UAAACAAGCUAGGGGAGCCGUAAGGCUGAGAAAACAAUUUGUUCACCCUUACUACUUGAUCCGGAUCAUACCGGCGUAAGGAAGCUGAAGAUUUCGUUA